rnacentral:rRNA from 1 species
GCAGCAGUGAGGAAUUUUUCACAAUGGACGAAAGUCUGAUGGAGCAAUACCAUGUGAACGAUGAAGGUCUUCUGAUUGUAAAGUUCUUUUAUUUAGGAAAAAAAGCUUGAGAGGAAAUGAUUAAGCCUUGAUUGUACUAAAUCAUUAAGUGACAGCUAACUAUGUGCCAGCAGCUGCGGUAAAACAUAGGUCACGAGCAUUAUCCGGAUUUAUUGGGCGUAAAGGAAGCGUAGGCGGACAAAUUGAUCUAUUGUUAAAGGCACUUGCUCAACGAGUUGUUUGUGAUUGAUAUCGUUUGUCUAGAAUUAGUUAGGAGAUACUGGAAUUCAAUGUGUAGCGGUGGAAUGCGUAGAUAUAUUGAGGAACACCAGAGGCUAAGGCGAGUAUCUAGGACAUAAUUGACGCUGAGGCUUGAAAGCGUGGGGAGCAAAUGGGAUUAGAUACCCCAGUAGUCCACGCCGUAAACGAUGGUUAUAAGGMAUUUGGUUUAGGACUGAGUGCUGUAGCUAACGCGUUAAAUACCCCGCCUGGGUA